UUCCAUGCUGUUGGGUGGUUGGUGUGGGUUUAGCCCUCAGCCUAAAACUAUCCUCAGGAAGCCAGGACCCCUCUGCUCCUUCUAUCUUCACCACAUCUCCAAGGGGCUGCAGCCUGCCUGCCCCAGGGAUGUGCGUGGCAGAGGAUUCCCAUGGCCCAGGUGGACAAACAGGCUGCUCAUCCUUAGGGAAAUGGAGGGAUGGUGAUUGUGUUGUGCAGGCCUCACAGGGUGGUGUUGAGGUAAGAGGGAGGAAAGGAAUGUGGGAGCUUUCUGCCUGCUCCACCUGGAGGGGUGAGGGCCAGAACAAGGAUGACAGUCUUGUGACACUGAGUCCUCAUGAGAACCUGUGUGGUAGCUGGAGUUCUCACACUUUCCGGAUGAGGAAACAGGCUCAAGGAGGCCAGGCCACGAGCCCAAGCUCACACCCAGAGUGAGAGUUGGAGCUGGGCUUGUUCUGGAAUCACAAGACCUUGGAGGAUGGAAUGACAUUGGUACCAGUUGACUCAAGUCAGAUGCCCAGUGUCGGAGGCCAGUGGUGCUGGAGAGAAAUGGGGUGAGGGGAGUAUCGCCUCGCUGACACUGUCCUCGACCCUGACAGGAGGGGCCCUUCACGUUUGCCCCCCCAGAGUGCAACCCCGAGAGAGUGCAGGAGAAGCAGCAGCAGCAGUAGGGGAAUGAGAUCAACCUUGAGAAGAGGACUGAGGAGCAGCUGUGGCACUCCCUGCAGGGGAGGGGAAAGAGGUGGAAAUCAGAGACCUUCUGGGCAGAACAGUCCCUGGCUUCACCCCCUGUAUCUUACAUUGAGUGGAAGAGUUUGAUAACAGAGGAGUGGGAGACCCAUCCAAUUGGCGGGUGGGUUGAGGGGAGGAUGGCAUCAAGGAUAUCUUCCUGGAGGAGGAGCUGAUUAUUCCCAUUCUGAGAACUGGUAGAGCCUGGAUGGAACUGGAGGGAAGGAUGGUUUCCAGGACUGGUCCCCUGCCCCACUCCUCACCUCCAACAAGGCCCCUGCAGCAUCCUCCACCC